GUUCACAGUCUCCGGGUGGACGGUGUUAUCCUCUCCGCUCAGAGCUGAAGUUGGUCGGCCGUGUGAUCGGGAAAGAUUUUCGUCUCUUCCGUCGGGAUCACUGUCUGGGGUCCGAAGAUAUCACUUUCCCAUCGUUAGUCCUGCAGUGAGAGAUUUAUUGGAAGAAAACCCAGGACUGAAGACGAGGGAACAGCAACAAGUGAACCAGCCCGAGGACUGAGAGCAUCAACUGGAGAGAACCCAUCUGACUCGGAGAUUCCGGUGAUUCAGUCAGGAGAAAGUUUGGUGAAUGUCGAGAGAAGGCAACUACAUUGAAUUCCACAAAUUCCACGGUGGUAAAACAGGAUAACAGUCACG